rnacentral:rRNA from 1 species
UACGUAGGGGGCGAGCGUUGUCCGGAGUUACUGGGCGUAAAGCGCACGCAGGCGGUCUGCUAAGUUUGGAGUGACAGUUGGUGGCUUAACUGCCAAAGUGCUUCGAAAACUGACAGACUUGAGGGCUUCAGAGGGACACGGAAUUCCGGGUGGAGUGGUGGAAUGCGUAGAGAUCCGGAAGAACACCGGUGGCGAAGGCGGCCUGCUGGGCUAUGGCUGACACUGAGGCGCGACAGCGUGGGGAGCAAACAGG